GGGGGGGGGAGAGAAGAGAGGGCCAGGAAGCACGCACGUGGGGGGAUGGGGUGCUGCGCACGCGGGAGCGCACUUUUCGAGGUGCCCAUCAUGGCUUCCUCCAUCUUCACGCUCUUCCUACCCCCUUUGAUUUACUUCCUCGUUCUUUUUCCACGCUCUCUCUUUCUCUCCCCCUCCUCCCUGAAAGCCGCCUCUGCGCAUCCUU